GGAGUAUGGACCGUGUCUCAGUUCCAUUGUGACCGUUCAUCCUCUCAGACCGGCUACCGAUCGUCGGCUUGGUAGUCCUUUACACUACCAACUACCUAAUCGGACGCAGGCUCCUCGCAAAGCGAUAAAUCUUUAGUAAAACUCCCAUGCGGAAACUUUACAACAUUCGGUAUUAGCGUCCCUUUCGGAACGUUGUCCCCAACUUCGCGGCAGAUUACCUGCGCAUUACUCACCCGUUCGCCACUAAACCCGAAGGUUCCGUUCGACUUGCAUGUGUUAAGCACGCCGCCAGCGUUCGUCCUCGAGCCACUGAUCAAACUACU
rnacentral:rRNA from 1 species